UGAGACCUCUUGAUGGCCGCGGCCCGAUCUUCGAUCCGGGCUGAGGAACUUCCGGGCUCCAUAGAGCACGAUGGCGGAUAACGUCCGCCCAGGGCAACCUGAGAGAUAGCGCAGCAGAGAACAGACCGCCGGCCGCACGGCCGGUAAGGGUGAAACGGCGGUGUAAGAGACCACCGGGCCUCCGGCAACGGCAGGCCGCAUGGCAAGCCUCAUCGGGAGCAAGGCCAAGCAGAAGGCGUUUGAGGGCUGCUCGCCCGAUGCCUUCGGGUAGGCUGCUAGAGCCUGGCGGCGACGUCAGGUCGAGAUGGAUGGCCAUCCGCGCCGCGUAUGCGGCGUGACAGAACCCGGGGUAUAAGAGGUCUCACUUU
rnacentral:RNase_P_RNA from 1 species